rnacentral:rRNA from 1 species
UACGUAGGGGGCAAGCGUUAUCCGGAUUUACUGGGUGUAAAGGGAGCGCAGACGGCCUAGCAAGUCUGAAGUGAAACCCCACGGCUCAACCGUGGGCUUGCUUUGGAAACUGUUAAGCUAGAGUACUGGAGGGGUAAGCGGAAUUCCUAGUGUAGCGGUGAAAUGCGUGGAUAUUAGGAGGAACAUAAGUGGCGAAGGCGGCUUACUGGACAGCAACUGACGUUGAGGCUCGAAGGCGUGGGGAGCAAAC